rnacentral:rRNA from 1 species
AAAACAUAACCUUUAGCCAAACAAAUAUUAAAGGCAACGCCUGCCCAGUGAACAAUUAAACGGCCGCGGUACCCUAACCGUGCAAAGGUAGCAUAAUCACUUGUCUAUUAAUUGUAGACCAGCAUGAAUGGCAAAAUGCGGGCCUAUCUGUCUCUUACAAUAAAUCAAUUAAACUGAUCUUCUAGUAAAAAAGCUAGAAUCCACACACAAGACCAGAAGACCCUGUGAAGCUUAAACUAAACUAUUAAACCUUAUAAUAUCUACUUUAGGUUGGGGCGACCUUGGAAAAAAAAAGAACUUCCAAACACAUGACCACACUCAUUCAUCAGGCCCACAAGCCUUAUAAAAGACCCAGUACAACUGAUAAUCGAACCAAGUUACUCCAGGGAUAACAGCGCCAUCUUCUUCAAGAGUCCAUAUCAAAAAGAAGGUUUACGACCUCGAUGUUGGAUCAGGACAUCCUAACGGUGCAGUCGCUGUUAAGGGUUCGUUUGUUCAACGAUUAAUAGUCCUACGUGA